rnacentral:misc_RNA from 1 species
AGCAGCCGCGGUAAUUCCAGCUCCAAUAGCGUAUAUUAAGGUUGUUGCAGUUAAAAAGCUCGUAGUUGAAUUUCGGGAUCAAAGGAUCGGUCAUGCCUUGGUAUGUACUGGUUUUAUUGGUUCUCACCUUCUAAAGAACCAUAAUGUCAUUCAUUUGAUGUUAUGGGGAAUUAGGACUGUUACCUUGAAAAAUUAGAGUGUUUAAAGCAGGCUCGCGCUUGAAUACAUUAGCAUGGAAUAAUGAAAUAGGACGUUUGAUUCUAUUUUGUUGGUUUCUAGGAUCGACGUAAUGAUUAAUAGGGAUAGUUGGGGGCAUUAGUAUUCAAUUGUCAGAGGUGAAAUUCUUGGAUUUAUUGAAGACUAACUACUGCGAAAGCAUUUGCCAAGGAUGUUUUCAUUAAUCAAGAACGAAAGUUAGGGGAUCGAAGACGAUCAGAUACCGUCGUAGUCUUAACCAUAACUA